CUGACGGAUUUUGUAAGGAAUUUCUGGUGACUCCCACGUUCGAUGAUCAUCACUAUCUUUACCACUACGCGCGUUUUCUGGAAAGACCACAUGAAAGAAAUGAGGGACAGCUGGGACCCAAGAUAUGUAGGUAUCUGAACAUUUGGCUCCCAUGCAGGAACACGGCCUGCAGAUUACAACACGUAUGACUCACUGAUGGCAAGGAGACUUCCAAUAUUCCAGCAGUAUCUGAUGGAAAGCUGUUUUUGGAAGGAGAGUGCCUUUGAACAUAACAAGCAAAGUUCAUCUCAACUUUUUAUUAACUUUGGCACAGUCACAAGCUUUCUCAUGAGGUAAAGUGGUUUUAUUUAUCAACCCAAACCAGAUGAACAGUUUCCUUGAUUCUUCUUUCUGGCAACUGUGAGAAACACCGCGCUAUCUCAGGCUACAACGAACGCAGGUGAAGAGCAUUUGGAGCUCUCAAACACCACCCACCCCAACAAGCUCACUCAGAAACUCAAACAUCUUUGUAUACCCAGCACAGUUACUUUAUGCCUUUCUGUCUCCCCCUCAGAUUAAGACUUGAUAAUAAAUGUGAAGAGCCAAACCCUAUUGGAACACAAAACACGAGGAGGAUGAAAAUCAGCUAAGUGACACAGAGGUUAGAAGAAAAUUGCUGAUAAUGAAAGGAUAUUUAUUAUCAAGAAACCUUGCUGCAAGGGAGAAAAACUAACAGCUGCACCCAGGAGAAAGGGAAAUUUUAACCAAUUAGCUAUAUCACAUUAAAGCAAGUUUAUUUUAAUUUGGUCUAAUUAAUAGCUCUGUUUUACAAGGUCCUGCAAACCUUAGUAGUUAUUUAAAUAAGGAGCAAGACAAAGCAGAUAUUAGCACUUCAUUGUCAGUGACAGGCAUACAUUCAGUGCAUUUUACAUUGAAAUAGUUAGAGCUAAACUGUAUCACUGAGCUUAGAAAAUGUACCUUUUUUU